GCUGACCCGCGUCACUGCUCUCUCUGCUUGUUUUAAAUGACAACUGACUUCAGUCUCUAGUGAUUCACUAACACAAUGGCUUCCCACUUUUUGCUGAUGUGUCUUGCGCUGGUCUUUGCUCACCAUUCUAGUGGACAGAAUAUUCUGACUCAGACUCCAAAGUUUCAUUCUGUUCUAUUAGGACAAAGUGUCUCCAUCAAGUGCAAAGCUCAAAGCUCCAUAAGCUACCUGCAUUGGUACCUGCAGAGAGCUGGUGAAAAGCCUAAACUUCUGAUCUAUGAAACAAGCAACCGUGCCUCUGGGAUCCCAGCACGUUUCACUGGGAGUGGAUCAGGGACCGACUACACUUUGACCAUCAGUGAUAUCCAGACUGAGGAUGUAGGUGUCUAUUACUGUCACCAACCUUGGGUACCUGACACACAGUGAUAAACAGUCGAACAA